CGCGAAUGGCUCAUUACAUCCGCUAUAAUUUACUCGAUCUUGACAUUAUCCUACUUGGAUAACUGUGGUAAUUCUAGAGCUAAUACAUGCAUUAAAGCUCUGACCUCACGGGAAGAGUGCACUUAUUAGAACAAAACCAAGCGGCUUCGGCUGUUUCUGGUUGACUCAUAGUAACUGAGCUGAUCGCACGGUCUUGCACCGGCGACGUGUCUUUCAAGUAUCUGCCGUAUCAACUUUCGAUGGUAGUGUAUCUGACUACCAUGGUGAUCACGCGUAACGGAGAAUAAGGGUUCGGCUCCGGAGAGUUCGCCUGAGAAAUCGCGAACACAUCUAAGGAAGGCAGCAGGCGCGAAAAUUACCACUCUCAGCACGAGGAGGUAGUGACGAAAAAUAACGAGACCGUUCUCUUAUGAGGCCGGUCAUCGGAAUGGGUACAAUUUAAACCCUUUAACGAGUAUCUAUGAGAGGGCAAGUCUGGUGCCAGCAGCCGCGGUAAUUCCAGCU
rnacentral:rRNA from 1 species